rnacentral:rRNA from 1 species
GUGGGGAAUAUUGGACAAUGGGCGAAAGCCUGAUCCAGCCAUGCCGCGUGUGUGAAGAAGGUCUUCGGAUUGUAAAGCACUUUAAGUUGGGAGGAAGGGCAGUAAGUUAAUACCUUGCUGUUUUGACGUUACCGACAGAAUAAGCACCGGCUAACUUCGUGUCAGCAGCCGCGGUAAUACGAAGGGUGCAAGCGUUAAUCGGAAUUACUGGGCGUAAAGCGCGCGUAGGUGGUUUUGUAAGUUGGAGGUGAAAUCCCCGGGCUCAACCUGGGAACUGCCUCAAAAACUGCAUGACUAGAGUACGGUAGAGGGUAGUGGAAUUUCCUGUGUAGCGGUGAAAUGCGUAGAUAUAGGAAGGAACACCAGUGGCGAAGGCGACUACCUGGACUGAUACUGACACUGAGGUGCGAAAGCGUGGGGAGCAAACAGGAUUAGAAACCCUAGUAGUCC